rnacentral:rRNA from 1 species
UCGAACGGCAGCACGGGAGCAAUCCUGGUGGCGAGUGGCGAACGGGUGAGUAAUAUAUCGGAACGUGCCCAGUCGUGGGGGAUAACGUAGAGAAAUUUACGCUAAUACCGCAUACGAUCUAAGGAUGAAAGCGGGGGACCGUAAGGCCUCGCGCGAUUGGAGCGGCUGAUAUCAGAUUAGGUUGUUGGUGAGGUAAAAGCUCACCAAGCCGACGAUCUGUAGCUGGUUUGAGAGAACGACCAGCCACACUGGGACUGAGACACGGCCCAGACUCCUACGGGAGGCAGCAGUGGGGAAUUUUGGACAAUGGGCGAAAGCCUGAUCCAGCAAUGCCGCGUGUGGGAAGAAGGCCUUCGGGUUGUAAACCACUUUUGUACGGAACGAAACGGUCUGCCCUAAUACGGCGGGCUAAUGACGGUACCGUAAGAAUAAGCACCGGCUAACUACGUGCCAGCAGCCGCGGUAAUACGUAGGGUGCGAGCGUUAAUCGGAAUUACUGGGCGUAAAGCGUGCGCAGGCGGUUAUAUAAGACAGUUGUGAAAUCCCCGGGCUCAACCUGGGAAUUGCAUCUGUGACUGUAUAGCUAGAGUACGGUAGAGGGGGAUGGAAUUCCGCGUGUAGCAGUGAAAUGCGUAGAUAUGCGGAGGAACACCGAUGGCGAAGGCAAUCCCCUGGACCUGUACUGACGCUCAUGCACGAAAGCGUGGGGAGC